UAAGCAUAUCAAUAAGCGGAGGAAAAGAAACCAACAGGGAUUGCCCUAGUAACGGCGAGUGAAGCGGCAAAAGCUCAGAUUUGAAAUCUCUUUAUUUUAUAAAGCGAAUUGUAAUCUGUAGAAGGUUGAAUGGCUGAAUAUUCUGAUUUAAAUUCCCUGGAAUAGGAUAUCAUAGAGGGUGAGAAUCCCGUGAUUUUCAGAAAAUAAGCCAAUUAAUUCACCUUUCGACGAGUCGAGUUGUUUGGGAAUGCAGCUCUAAAUGGGUGGUAAAUUUCAUCUAAAGCUAAAUACCUGCCAAAGACCGAUAGCGAACAAGUAGAGUGAUCGAAAGAUGAAAAGCACUUUGAAAAGAGAGUUAAAAAGUACGUGAAAUUGUUGAAAGGGAAGCGCUUGCGAUUAGACUUGAUAUUUAAAUUCAACCAGCUUACGGGCUCUGGUUUACUUUUUAUUUAUCAGGCCAGCAUCAGUUUGGUGGGAUUUAUAAAAACAAUUGGAAUGUAGUAAAUUUUUUUUAAAUUUAUGUUAUAGCCUUUUGUAUAAUUUUUUUAUCCACACUAGACUGAGGUCUGCUCUUCGGAAAGGAUGCUGGCAUAAUGAUCGUAAGCGACCCGUCUUGAA
rnacentral:rRNA from 1 species